rnacentral:miRNA from 1 species
CAGCUGUGAGGAUUUCAGUCU